rnacentral:rRNA from 1 species
GACAGCAGUCGCCGCGGGAAUACGAAGGGUGCAAGCGUUAAUCGGAAUUACUGGGCGUAAAGCGUGCGUAGGCGGUUUGUUAAGUCUGUUGUGAAAUCCCCGGGCUCAACCUGGGAAUGGCAAUGGAUACUGGCAAGCUAGAGUGUGUCAGAGGAUGGUGGAAUUCCCGGUGUAGCGGUGAAAUGCGUAGAGAUCGGGAGGAACAUCAGUGGCGAAGGCGGCCAUCUGGGACAACACUGACGCUGAGGCACGAAAGCGUGGGGAGCAAACAGGAUUAGAUACCCCAGUAGUCCCUGUCUCUUAUAC